rnacentral:tRNA from 3 species
GCGAGGGUAGCCAAGCCAGGCCAACGGCGCUGGACUUAAGAUCCAGUCCCGAAGGGGUCCGUGGGUUCGAAUCCCACCCCUCGCA